rnacentral:sRNA from 1 species
GUCGCGUGCCCUCCUUGGGCGUUUCCUCCCUAGACUCGGGCCGUUCGUUCGCCGGACGGCCCGCUUUUUUUGUCCGC